AGCUCGCGUCUGAUUAGCUAGUUGGUGGGGUAAAAGCCUACCAAGGCGACGAUCAGUAGCUGGUCUGAGAGGAUGAUCAGCCACACUGGGACUGAGACACGGCCCAGACUCCUACGGGAGGCAGCAGUGGGGAAUUUUCCGCAAUGGGCGCAAGCCUGACGGAGCAAGACCGCGUGGGGGAGGAAGGUUCUUGGAUUGUAAACCCCUUUUCUCAGGGAAGAAGAAAGUGACGGUACCUGAGGAAUCAGCCUCGGCUAACUCCGUGCCAGCAGCCGCGGUAAUACGGAGGAGGCAAGCGUUAUCCGGAAUGAUUGGGCGUAAAGCGUCCG
rnacentral:rRNA from 1 species